rnacentral:rRNA from 1 species
GAAACUCACUAUAGUCCCAUAGGUAUGAAACCGAUUUGCGCGAGAGUAGUACUAGGAUGGGUGACCUCCUGGGAAGUCCUCGUGAAAGGGUUUCA